GACGAACGCUGGCGGCGUGCUUAACACAUGCAAGUCGAACGCUGAAGCCCUUCGGGGUGGAUGAGUGGCGAACGGGUGAGUAACACGUGGGUAAUCUGCCCUGCACUCUGGGAUAAGCCUUGGAAACGGGGUCUAAUACCGGAUAGGACACAUCGCCGCAUGGUGUGUGUGUGGAAAGUUCCGGCGGUGCAGGUUGAGCCCGCGGCCUAUCAGCUUGUUGGUGGGGUGAUGGCCUACCAAGGCGACGACGGGUAGCCGGCCUGAGAGGGUGACCGGCCACACUGGGACUGAGACACGGCCCGGACUCCUACGGGAGGCAGCAGUGGGGAAUCUUGCGCAAUGGGCGAAAGCCUGACGCAGCAACGCCGCGUGGGGGAUGACGGCCUUCGGGUUGUAAACCUCUUUCGACCGGGACGAAGGAUUCGUUUGACGGUACCGGUAGAAGAAGCACCGGCUAACUACGUGCCAGCCGCCGCGGUAA
rnacentral:rRNA from 1 species